rnacentral:rRNA from 1 species
UACGGAGGGUGCAAGCGUUAUCCGGAUUUACUGGGUUUAAAGGGUGUGUAGGCGGGUCUUUAAGUCCGUGGUGAAAUCUCCGAGCUCAACUUGGAAACUGCCAUUGAUACUAUUGAUCUUGAAUCCUGUUGAGGUGGGCGGAAUAAGUCAUGUAGCGGUGAAAUGCAUAGAUAUGACUUAGAACACCAAUUGCAAAGGCAGCUCACUAAACAGAUAUUGACGCUGAGGCACGAAAGCGUGGGGAUCAAACAGG